rnacentral:lncRNA from 1 species
CUUAGGGCUGCACUCACGGCAUACGGAAAUUCCCAGGCUAGGGGGUCGAAUCAGAUCAGAGCUGCAGCUGCCGACCAUAGCCACAGUAACACAGGAUCCAGAGCUGCACCUGUGACCUACACCAAAGCUCACAGCAGUGGUGGACCCUUAAUCCACUGAGUGAGGCCAGGGAUCAAAUUCUCCUCCUCAUGGAUACUAGUCGGAUUCAUUUUUAAGACUUUGGAAAUUCAAAAGCCAAGACAACUGAUAGUGCUUUAUUCUUUUCUUCCUUAUCAGGUGCAAAGAAAUUACUCAAGAAAUGCUUACCGUAUGGAGAUAUUGAAAUAAAAAUUAUUCAUAAAAAUUGCUAAGCUUAAAACUAAAGGUUCCAAUAAUUUUGAAUUUUUAUAUGCAUGUUUUCUAAUUUUUUACUUCUAUAUAUUUUUUAUAAUUAGGAUGCUAAAUCUCUGCCCAACAGUAUUGACCUUUUAAAGAGCUUGUGGUGGCCCAUCCUCAAUCCCAGGAUACAUGAAUGUUAGUAGGUGAGAAACCAGCCCAACAAAUUCCUGCUUGCUGGGUAAAAUAAAAAGUAAAAUGUAAAAUAAGAGAUCUGUGUUUUCUCUACAAAGAAAGAAAGAAAGAAAGAAAGAAAGAAAGAAAGAAAGAAAGAAAGAAAGAAAGAAAGAAAAAGAACAAAGAGAGAAAGAAAAGAAAAUGGUAGUAACAUUUACCCAGAAUUCUAAAGCACAAGGGCUAACAUUUGACUUGAGAAUUCCUAACUUUUGAAAAUUAAAUCCUCGUCUCUGGAUCUGGAAGAGAGAAAGUCUGCAUUUUACAUAUAUAAAUGACAUAAAGGAAUUGUGCCUUCGCUAUGAAAAAUUAUAUACCCCCCAAAAAAGGACAUUCUGAGGGGCACCCUUUGAGGAUGAAAUUUAAGCAAAGGGCACAGCUCCAGCUUAAGCAGCUUUUCCCAACUGGGCUUCCCUGGCAUGGGCUGAUGGAACCGUUAGGAACACCACGGUAACAUGGACACAGGCGGUAUUAGGGAGGCAAAUUUGAUUCGUGAUUUAUCUCCCUUGCGGUGGGACUCUUGAUGAUUGAAAAUAAAACACAGUGUGGUAACCAAACUUCUUUCCUCUUGGAAACACAACCAGGCUUGAGCUGAUUGGCAUCCUACAAAAAUAGUAGCAUCUGCCCUUCUGAUUAAUAUUCCCAUGUCCAAGCAAUGUUGUGCUAUUAAUCGAGACCCAGCAAUCAUCUGCUUUUGAGCUGUAUAACGUAAAAUAACAGAAUCAAGGCCAAUAACCCAUGGAAAUUAUCCAAAGAUAUAUAAACACAAGCCUGAAGAGACAUCUCUACAGCUUGGCCUGUGGAGAAAAAGGCCUGGGGUUUCAAGCGGAGCCCUUCCUCACAGCAUCCCCACAGUCUAGGCAGCCUCUCCGUGGUACCAGGACAGAGCAGCUGUAAAAUCCCAAACUGGAUACAGAAGGACUUCCUUGGCCAGGCCUUUGGGAGCCACCAUUUAGAUCUUAAGAAAAACCUGUCUCCAGGAUAGAGAUUCGGUCUUUCCAGCAUUUCAAACAACAGGGGCUUGGUAGCUAUAAAGGAAAACUCUAAGGAAGAGUAUUCACUAGGACAGAGGAAAUAUACAACCCUUCCAGCACUGCGAGUAUUGCUCUUGGACAAUGCUGUAUAUCUAGAUGCCUUAAAGAUUUAAGGUGUCAGCUUUUACAGUUUUCGUUUUCAAAAUUUAUCUGCAAUUAUUUCUUCUCUCAGUUCCCCAUCUUUGGAGCUAUAGUAACAAUG